rnacentral:rRNA from 1 species
GACGAACGCUGGCGGCGUGCUUAACACAUGCAAGUCGAACGGAAAGGCCCUGCUUUUGUGGGGUGCUCGAGUGGCGAACGGGUGAGUAACACGUGAGUAACCUGCCCUUGACUUUGGGAUAACUUCAGGAAACUGGGGCUAAUACCGGAUAGGAGCUCCUGCUGCAUGGUGGGGGUUGGAAAGUUUCGGCGGUUGGGGAUGGACUCGCGGCUUAUCAGCUUGUUGGUGGGGAAGUGGCUUACCAAGGCUUUGACGGGUAGCCGGCCUGAGAGGGUGACCGGCAAAAUUGGGACGGAGAUACGGCCCAGACUCCUACGGGAGGAAGAGGUGGGGAAUAUUGCAAAAGGGGCGGAAGCCGGAGGCAGCAACGCCGCGUGCGGGAUGACGGCCUUCGGGUUGUAAACCGCUUUAGCCUGGGACGAAGCGUGAGUGACGGUAAUGGGUAAAGAAGCACCGGCUAACUACGUG